AACUAGUUGGGGUGGUUGGCGAGAUGGUUGGGUUGGUGGAAAAUAGUUAGGGUCAUUGGCGAGGUGGAAACUAGUUGGGGUGGUUGGCGAGAUGGUUGGGUUGGUGGAAAAUAGUUAGGGUCAUUGGCGAGGUGGAAAGUAGUUGAGGUGGUUGGCGAGAUGGUUGGGUUGGUGAAAAAUAGUUAGGGUCAUUGGCGAGGUGGAAGGUAGUUAGGGUCGUUGGCGAGGUGGAAACUAGUUGGGGUGGUUGGCGAGAUGGUUGGGUUGGUGAAAAAUAGUUAGGGUCAUUGGCGGGGUGG